GAUGAACGCUGGCGGCGUGCUUAACACAUGCAAGUCGAACGGAAAUGUAAGGAAGCCUAGCGAAUUACAUUUUAGUGGCGGACGGGUGAGUAACGCGUGGAUAACCUGCCUUAUACUGGGGGAUAACAGUUAGAAAUGACUGCUAAUACCGCAUAAGCAUACGAAACCGCAUGGUUUUGUGUGAAAAACUCCGGUGGUAUAAGAUGGAUCCGCGUCUGAUUAGCUAGUUGGUGAGGUAAUGGCUCACCAAGGCGACGAUCAGUAGCCGGCCUGAGAGGGUGAACGGCCACAUUGGGACUGAGACACGGCCCAAACUCCAACGGGAGGCAGCAGUGGGGAAUAUUGCACAAUGGGCGAAAGCCUGAUGCAGCGACGCCGCGUGAGUGAAGAAGUAUUUCGGUAUGUAAGCUCUAUCAGCAAGGAAGAAAAUGACGGUACUUGACUAAGAAGCCCCGGCUAACUCCGUGCCAGCCGCCGCGGUAAAAC
rnacentral:rRNA from 1 species